rnacentral:rRNA from 1 species
AGUGAACGCUGGCGGCAGGCCUAAUACAUGCAAGUCGAACGGCAGCACAGCAGAGCUUGCUCUGUGGGUGGCGAGUGGCGGACGGGUGAGGAAUACGUGGGAAUCUGCCCAGUCGUGGGGGAUAACGUAGGGAAACUUACGCUAAUACCGCAUGCGCCCUUCGGGGGAAAGCCGGGGACCUUCGGGCCUGGCGCGAUUGGAUGAGCCCACGUCGGAUUAGCUAGUUGGCGGGGUAAAGGCCCACCAAGGCGACGAUCCGUAGCUGGUCUGAGAGGAUGAUCAGCCACACUGGAACUGAGACACGGUCCAGACUCCUACGGGAGGCAGCAGUAGGGAAUAUUGCACAAUGGGCGCAAGCCUGAUGCAGCGACGCCGCGUGAGGGAUGACGGCCUUCGGUUGUAACUCUUCUAAUAGGACGGAAGCGCAAGUAGACGGUACCUACUAGAAGAAGCACCGCCGAACUACGUG